rnacentral:lncRNA from 1 species
AAACCCUAACCGUUUUCCAGAAACCCUAAUUUUCAUCAGAAUCAACAUUUUUGCAUCAAUCCUCAGAGAUUCGUGUGAAUCUUCAUCACCGGAUUGAAGAUUUUCCUGCAAUUCCAAGUGCGAGCUCACAUUGAAGCAAGCUCAAGCACUGAUCACAGGGUUUCCUCACGUAAAUCUAAGAAACAUUGAAGCAAGCUCAAGCACGUAAUCACAGAGAAGCAGAGAAAGAAUCAGAGAAGAUGAAGAAGAGGAACCGGUAAACCGAUUUAUUUUCGGUCCAAAAAGCAAGCA